UGCAGUUCCCAGUGUGGCAACUAGGAAAGAAAAGUGACCCAACACCAAGCAAACAGAGACAACUGCACUGGAACCUACAGUUCAAUGGUAUGUUCAGAGUGGAGGGAGUGGGAAUGGGAGUGAGACUGAGACGCUGCAGGAGGCGUCAGGCAGCUCAGCAGCUCAGCAGGGGAGUGUGAGGACAAACAAGCGGAGGGUAGCAGGACUCCUCUCUCUCUCUCUUUACACUUCACCUCCUCUCUUCAAUACACUCAGAAGAGCAUCACUGAGGAGAUCAAAUGGCUGAUGCAGGAACACGACAGCUCCUCUGUGGAACUACCUCCUGUCAAACCCAAGAAGCACCUGGUUAGAGACACUGCUAUUAUGAGUCAUUUGCUUCAUGAAUUUAAUCCAUAAAUUAGAUCCUGUAAUUUCUGGGGUUUUGAGAAAUGAAAAUAGAAAAAUAGAUGCACCUACUCUGCAAAGUAAAU